ACUUCCAGGAAUCUAU
rnacentral:sRNA from 1 species